ACUCCUACGGGAGGCAGCAGUGGGGAAUAUUGGACAAUGGGCGCAAGCCUGAUCCAGCCAUGCCGCGUGUGUGAAGAAGGCCUUUUGGUUGUAAAGCACUUUAAGCGAGGAGGAGGCUCCUUUAGUUAAUACCUAAAGAGAGUGGACGUUACUCGCAGAAUAAGCACCGGCUAACUCUGUGCCAGCAGCCGCGGUAAUACAGAGGGUGCGAGCGUUAAUCGGAUUUACUGGGCGUAAAGCGUGCGUAGGCGGCUUUUUAAGUCGGAUGUGAAAUCCCUGAGCUUAACUUAGGAAUUGCAUUCGAUACUGGAAAGCUAGAGUAUGGGAGAGGAUGGUAGAAUUCCAGGUGUAGCGGUGAAAUGCGUAGAGAUCUGGAGGAAUACCGAUGGCGAAGGCAGCCAUCUGGCCUAAUACUGACGCUGAGGUACGAAAGCAUGGGGAGCAAACAGGAUUAGAUACCCUGGUAGCGUCGUCU
rnacentral:rRNA from 1 species